CCCCCCACCACUCUUCCCCAUUCAGUGCAGGAGCUCCCCCAGCCGAGCGUCCCUGCUCCUCGCCGGCCUGGGGGACACUCAGCCGCCGCCCCUCUCCUGGCUCCCAGCUUCCUCUCCCGGCACUGGAUCUACGCCUCCCUGCCACGUCGGCCUCUUCUCCCUGCCGCCGGACCUUCCCCCGCUGCGGCGUCUUCUCUGCUCGCCACCUGCGCUACCGUGGUUGCGACCGCGGAGAAGCAGCAACGCCGACCCCGUGCCCCAUGUCUUUUCCAUAGCAACAGCCACCGGGGCCUCGCGGGUGCUCCCUUCCC
rnacentral:misc_RNA from 1 species